rnacentral:rRNA from 1 species
GAUGAACGCUGGCGGCGUGCUUAACACAUGCAAGUCGAACGGAAAGGCCCAAGCUUGCUUGGGUACUCGAGUGGCGAACGGGUGAGUAACACGUGGGUGAUCUGCCCUGCACUUCGGGAUAAGCCUGGGAAACUGGGUCUAAUACCGGAUAGGACCACAUUUUGGAUGGUGUGGUGGAAAGUUUUUCGGUGUGGGAUGAGCUCGCGGCCUAUCAGCUUGUUGGUGGGGUAAUGGCCUACCAAGGCGUCGACGGGUAGCCGGCCUGAGAGGGUGUACGGCCACAUUGGGACUGGGAUACGGCCCAGACUCCUACGGGAGGCAGCAGUGGGGAAUAUUGCACAAUGGGCGCAAGCCUGAUGCAGCGACGCCGCGUGGGGGAUGACGGCCUUCGGGUUGGAAACUCCUUUCGCUAGGGACGAAGCGUUAUGUGACGGUACCUGGAGAAGAAGCACCGGCUAACUACGUG